UAGAGAUGUGGAGGAACACCAGUGGCGAAGAGCGACGUCUCUGGUCUGUCACUGACGACUGAGGAGCGAAAGCGUGGGGAGGCGAACAGGAUUAGAUACCCUGGUAGUCCUCCGCCGUAAACGAUGAAUAAUAAGUGUUAGGGGGUUUCCGCCCUUUAGUGCUGCAGCUAACGCAUUAAGCACUCCGCCUGGGGAGUACGGUCGCAAGACUGAAACUCAAAGGAAUUGACGGGGGCCCGCACNAGCGGUGGAGCAUGUGGUUUAAUUCGAAGCAACGCGAAGAACCUUACCAGGUCUUGACAUCCUCUGACAAUCCUAGAGAUAGGGUGUUCCCUUCGGGGACAGAGUGACAGGUGGUGCAUGGUUGUCGUCAGCUCGUGUCGUGAGAUGUUGGGUUAAGUCCCGCAACGAGCGCAACCCUUGAUUUUAGUUGCCAGCAUUCAGUUGGGCACUCUAAGGUGACUGCCGGUGACAAACCGGAGGAAGGUGGGGAUGACGUCAAAUCUUCAUGCCCCCUAUGACCUGGGGUACACACAUG
rnacentral:rRNA from 1 species